UAGCUCGCAUAUCACAUUGUAAUAGUUAGAUUAGUGAAAUAAAAUUUCUCUUCUUAUCAUGCUUCUUCUCUUAGCUCUUAUGCAUAUUUGCAAGCUUUUCUAUUCAUUAAUAAAGAUUGAGAUCACCUUUUUACAUGGUAUCAGUGGCAUAUUGAUCUUGAUUUCUGCCAUUGGGCUCCAUCGUUUUGCUUGCGUUCUUUGAUUUCUCACCACUCUCAACAAAUUUCAGUUUCUUCUCUCUUCCUCGUUCUUUCUCAAUUUUGCUUUAUUCUCCUUUUUUUUUUUUGCUGCUUUCUCUCUAAAAGCACUUUGAUUAUCUUUCUGUCUCUCCUUUCUUUCUCCUUAAUUCUUUGCAUUCUUUAUUUCUUUCUGUCCAUUUUUCUCUCAUUUGUUCUUCAUUAUGUCCGAAGCAAGUUAUUCAGAAAGCGUUAAUGGCGGUCAACAAUUUCCACCUUCUCCUAAGAACAAAGGUUACCGGACAGUUAUUUUGAGUGCCUAUUUCAUGCACCCCAUAUGAAAAUUAAUAACCAACAAAUUUGUAGGUUAUCAUGUUACACUUAUCCCCCAUAAUGAACAAGAAAUUGAGUGAAUGCAUGACCUAAAACAUCUAAUCAGUGACUAUUUAGGAAUUUAUGGUUUUAAUUAAUUUUUAGUGUUAUUUGAUCAUUUUGAACUAGUAAUGCUUGUUUUGGAUGAUUGAUGGAACAGGGUGAAGAAUGGCACUGGAGAUCUCGGGCGCAACAAAUUGGAAUUGAAGUUGUAUAUCUCAAGAUAUAGGAAGAUGUAGCAUACUAGAUCGUCAUCCGGGUCGUACUAUUUACGAACUGAUCAUACGGUCCCGUUUAUCUUUGCUUAAUGGUUGGCCUUGAACUAUAAAAGGACAACCACAUGUUAGUACCAAGGGUCAAAAAUUGUACACUUGAAUUGAGUGGCCAAGUUCAGCUAUGGUUAGCAGCACUAGAGUUCUCACUCCAUCUCAUCUUCUCUAUAGAUGAGCAUGAGAGCUAGUUCUCAAUUAUUUAGAGCUAGGAUUAUUUAGGUGAUGAUUUAAGCUCACCUCCUUCCUUUGUGGAUUGUAAUCUUCUAUUAACUAUAUUUUAUCUAUCAAUUUAGUUUUUCAUGUUUUCAUUUA
rnacentral:lncRNA from 1 species